rnacentral:tmRNA from 1 species
GGGGCCGACCCGGUUUCGACGUGGGUGCGGAUCCGGCGCAGGGCAUGCCGAGCACCAGUUCGCUCGUAAAUCCACUGGAACAAAGUAACUGCGAACGACGAACGUUUCGCUCUCGCCGCUUAAACACCGGUGAGCCUCUCAACGGUUGGCCGAUGGGCCGGGUUGAAGGUCGCAAGACCGACGACUGAGAGGUCAUUCACAUCGGCUGGCGUUGCACCGGGUCACUUGAUGCAGCGCGAGAUCUAGGUGACUGGCUCCGUCCGCAGCGUGUGCCUGCGCGGCGGCGGGGUGAGAAUCAAAUCAGAGCACUACGCAUGUAGAACUGUCCGGUGAUGGCUUGCGGACGGGGGUUCGAUUCCCCCCGGCUCCACCA